UUACGGCCACAUCAUUUUGAAACACCGGUUUCCGUACGAUCACCUAAGUUAAGCAACAUCGAGACUGGUCAAUAACUAGAUGGUUGAGCGCUUGGGAAUACCAGGUGCUGUAAG